rnacentral:lncRNA from 1 species
AUGUCCAAUGCUAUUACAAUAAUGAAGUUCAUACUUACUGGGUUCUCUGAUAUCCAGUGGUUAUAGACUUUGUGUGGAAUGGUCUUUGUAGUGAUACACAUGGCAGUCCUAAUGAGUGAUCUUUUCAUCAUCCCUCUCAUCACCAUUUACCUGAAUCUUCAAACACCCAUGUACUUGAUCCUGAAGAGUUCUCCUUGUUGGAUGUGGUCUUUUUCAGUUCCAACCCCAAAUUUCUUUGUCAAUAGCAUAAUUCACAACACUUCCAUUUCUAUUAUCGGUUUUGCUCUUCAGGUAUUUUAAUGACUGCUUUCAUAGCAGGGGACAUCUUUUGCCUGAGUCCCAUACCCUUUGAUUUUCAUGUUGUCAUUUAUUUUUCCCUGAACUAUGAGGCCAUCAAGGGUAAUGAUAACAGUGUGCUGAUGGUGAAAGCUUCUUGGGCUACUGAAGUACUAUAUGUACCCAUAUAACCAGCUGGCACAUGGCUUUCUAUGACUCCAAUGUGAUCCCACAAUUUUUCUGUGUUGUCCCCUCAUUAUUAAGGAUUUCCUGCUCCAAAACAUGCAUGGUCAUUUAUAUUAGCCUUGGAAUUGGUGUUUGGCUACCAUGUUUUGUUUCAUCUGUGUUUUAA